UGGAGUUAUGUUUUCUCUCCUCUCGAUGACCGAGUUUUUUCAAAUGAGAGCGAAAAAAGUGGGGAGGGGGUGGUUAGUGACUGACUCCCCUCCUCUCCUUCUCCUCUCCGUGAAAGAGGCGACUUUCGAAGAGGAUACUUCUUUCCCGCUAGUUUCUAUGAUGGUGGGCGGUGGCAGGGUGUUGGGGAUCUCCCCGUCGGAUGAUGAUAAUGCUGUUGUGGCUGAUAAAAUCAAAGCCAACAUUGUUAUGUAUAGUCCAUGGUUUCGUCGCUGGGACGUUUUGAAGAGUUAUCAGGCACAAAAUUGGAGAGGGCUCCUCUGCCUGCGAUCUCUUGGGAUGACUCUUCAUUUUCGUUACAUUCUAGUUUAGAGAACUUCCAUGGUUUAGAGGUAAAGAUAACGGAGCAUAAGGUGGGCGACGAUGAAGGUGCGGCAGAGUCGGCUCAAACACCAUUUUGGAAUCUGUAGAGGCUAUCAGUAUUAAUUAUAUUGAGAUUCGUGACCAGCAUGAUUUGGAGAAUUUGCCUAAUCUUUCCUUACCUGUCAUGGUGGGAAAUAUGACAACUUUGGAGACAAUUAUUUCCCUUCAAAUCCUAAAUAUGGGUGCCAUAAAUGAUAAGAUUCCUCAAUUAAUUGAUGAAUCUCCCCCGAAAUCAUUAAAUGAGGUUAUGAAAAUGUUGUAACUUUGGAGAAAGUGUUUAGUGGGCUAACAUUUGUUCAUAUUACUAGUUCUUUGAACAUGCAAUUUGUUUUAUUGGCCAA